CAAGUGUCCCCGGGGCCUGCGGGAGCCGGACUUCCUGGACCUGCUCCGGUCCUCCUUCCCUCAGCAGUGCGGCGGCGACGGGCGCUUCGAGGUCCUGACGUCGGACCGGCGGCGGCGGCUGAGGCCUCUGAGGGUGGCGGCGCUGACGGCGGAGGAGAUCGACAGGAACGCCGGCGGCUCGGGGGGGAAGUCCACCAUCUACAUCCGACUCAAGACAAACACGGGUCCACAGGCCGCCGCCGCCGGCGAAGACGCAGCUGGACCUCGGAGGUGAGACGAGUGUGAGACGCGACGCAUUCAGUCGCACGUGAAGUCUGAAUGUUGAAGGUUCUUUUGUUGCUUUGCUUUCUUACACACAGAUUU
ensembl:lncRNA